rnacentral:sRNA from 1 species
UCCCAUCCAAGUACUAACCAUGCCCAACCCUGCUUAACUUCCAAGAUCUGUCGAGAUCGGGCAUGUUCAGGGUGUUAUGGCC